GCGAAGGCGGUUGGAGGGAGGCCCGAUUCGCCUUUGUUCAGAUUCGCCAUUUUGCGAGGCAGCGGCAGUGGCGGCGGCGGCGGCGGCUGGAGCCUCUGAUUGGGUUUCGGGGUCCGGUACUGGAGCCAAUCAGCGCGGGCAGCGAACCGGGGGAGCGAGGCACGGAGUCCCUACUUGGCAGCUGCCUGGGAUCUAUAGAGUAAAGCUUCAGGACUCUUAACGUGGCCGGACCAUGGAGCAGUAUACGACAAACAGCAAUAGUUCCACUGAGCAGAUCGUGGUGCAGGCUGGCCAGAUUCAGCAACAGCAGCAGGGUGGUGUCACUGCUGUCCAGUUGCAGACUGAGGCCCAAGUGGCAUCCGCCUCAGGCCAGCAAGUCCAGACCCUCCAGGUAGUCCAGGGACAGCCAUUAAUGGUGCAAGUCAGUGGAGGCCAGCUUAUUACAUCAACUGGCCAACCGAUCAUGGUCCAGGCUGUGCCUGGUGGACAAGGCCAAACUAUCAUGCAAGUGCCUGUGUCUGGAACACAGGGUUUACAGCAGAUUCAGUUGGUACCCCCUGGUCAGAUACAGAUCCAAGGUGGGCAGGCUGUGCAGGUGCAAGGCCAGCAGGGUCAGACCCAGCAGAUCAUCAUUCAGCAGCCACAAACUGCAGUCACUGCUGGCCAGACUCAAACGCAACAACAGAUUGCUGUCCAGGGACAGCAAGUGGCCCAGACUGCUGAAGGGCAAACUAUUGUCUACCAGCCAGUUAAUGCAGAUGGCACGAUUCUCCAGCAAGUUACAGUCCCUGUUUCAGGCAUGAUCACCAUCCCAGCAGCCAGUUUGGCAGGAGCACAGAUCGUUCAGACGGGAGCCAAUACCAAUACAACCAGCAGUGGGCAAGGAACUGUCACUGUGACACUGCCAGUGGCAGGCAAUGUGGUCAACUCAGGAGGAAUGGUCAUGAUGGUGCCAGGAGCUGGCUCUGUGCCUGCUAUCCAGAGAAUCCCUUUACCUGGAGCAGAGAUGCUGGAAGAAGAGCCCCUGUACGUGAAUGCCAAACAGUAUCACCGCAUCCUCAAGAGGAGACAAGCGCGUGCUAAGCUAGAGGCAGAAGGGAAGAUUCCAAAGGAAAGAAGGAAAUACCUCCAUGAGUCUCGGCAUCGACACGCCAUGGCACGGAAACGUGGUGAGGGAGGACGGUUCUUCUCUCCAAAAGAAAAGGACAGUCCUCAUAUGCAGGAUCCAAACCAAGCCGAUGAAGAAGCCAUGACACAGAUCAUCCGAGUUUCCUAACCACAGGAGGAUAACAGAGCUGAUGAGUCAUGUUCCUCUCCACUGUUCGUGGACAUGGACUGACUUCCUACGAGACACUGAUGGUUGCACUCUGCCCUUUCUCAGGACAGAAACUACUUAGCUCGGUAUUACAGCUGUAGCAUGGCUGAUGAACUGAAGUGGCAAGCCUUUGUCUCACCCUUUCAUUCAGGACCUGUUUCAGACUGUUGGCAACAUUGACCUUUUGUGACUUCGGAUGAUAAAAGGAGGUAUUUUCCAGCCCAGCAUUACAUACACAAGCACUUACGUUGAGUGGCAAGGCCAGCCAGUUGGCCAUUGCAGUAGGGGAGACCAGCCUUUUCAACCUGGUCUACAGUCAAGGCAGCCACAGCCCCUGCCUUCCUGUGGAGUCAACAGCACCCAUCCUCUGGAGGGACGUCGGGCUGCCUGAUGCAAGGACAAUUUGCACUCAGGUGGUUCCCAAAGAAGGAGGCUUCCUGUUAGGACAUGAAACAGCCAACUGAGCUGCAGUGCUCUGACCUGUGCUGAUAAGACUGUCUGCUCACAUGCUAGGUCGGUAUUUUUUACUUCAGCCAAGAAAGUACAAAGAGGGUAUUUUGGACUCAGGAUAAAAGGAUAGAAGACCUUGAGGAUCAAAAAGGUACAUUGCUGAAUCUCUAACUUUGACUGUGGUCUGCUCAUACUUACUAAUGGCCGUCUGGGCCAUAGUUCAUACUAUGGCCACUUUAAUGACAGAUUAGAGAGUAAGUCGACCUCACAGCUGACUUUCCCAGUAGAGAACAAAACUUCACAACAUCUGUGCUCAGGUGCUGAGGACAUGCACGACAGUUCCUCAACAAAGGCAAACCUAGGAUAUUUAAUCAUGGGCUUUAUGAGUGAGGAAGGAAUGGAAGGAUCUGUGCAUAUCAGACUAGAGAACAAGUGCCCUGUCUGCCCAAGGGCUGCCAUAGAGUGUGACUCUCCAGUGGAAGGACGCCGGGCAUGGAGCUUAAGCUGAAGACACCAAGUCAAAAUCACACUGCAUCUUCUGAUGUGCACUAAAAGAGAAGUUUGAGGUGCACUCCUUAUAUUGCCUCGGCAAGCAGUGUUGAGGCAGUCAUCCUUGGCUGCAGACCGGAGCACUACUGGAGCUCAGAGUGGAGAAGAGGCGUGGGCUCCACCCCCCGCCUGUGUUCCGGCCCAGGGGUGAACUUCUUCCCAUGGCAGCUGAUUCUUUGGUGCCAGUUUCCACUUGUUUUCUCCUUUCCCUGUAGACCUUGCAGCAAGGUUUGCCCAGUGCAUCUGUGUUGUAGGGAUCAACUACAGACUGGGAAGAUUCCUGCAGGGUCAGGAAUUGGGCCACAAUUCCCAGGAUGAGGUGUGCCUCAAGAAAUGUUUCUUGGACAAGCACCCUACCACUGAGCCACACACACACAUGCUCUCAGACCCGUAGAUGCUGAGCCUGGAAGACAAAAACAAGGCUGGUAUUUCAGAAGAGUUGACUGCCUUUCUGCUCUGCAAUCAAAGUCAAACACAGACAUUCCAAAGACUUUGAGUUGACCAAAGAAAGAAGAAACAAUGGUUGCUCAAAAAAAAAAAAAAAAAGCUACAGCCAUGUACAGUCAAUCUGCUUCAGUGACCUGCUCAGUGAGGGCCCAAAGACAAGGCCAUUAAGAAGUUUGCCAUUCAGAACAUGGUAGGGGCCACCGACACCACGGACAUAUCCAAAACAAGUGUCUUCAGUGCUUGUGUUCUUCCCAAACUCGAUGUCAAGCUGCAUUACCAUGUGAGCUGUGCUGUUCAUGGAAGGACCAGCCGCCCUGCCGAGUUGAUGACCAUAUCACAGUCUCUACCACAGCCAUGUGGAGGAAGCUUCUUAAGAACAAGAGGGAAAAAAAGCUGGGAAAAAUAAAAUGGAAGUUUUACUUCGAGCAAAUAGAGAGCAAGAGACACACAACGAAAACAGUCUGAGAAGGUGCUUCUUCCUUCCCACCAUGGUCUCAGCUCCAAGGAUCUCUGGACAGGUCAUGCAACAAGUUAGAAAUCUUUCUCUAGGAGACAAGUUUCUUCUGUGGGUGCUCCCUUCUUAAGAAGAAAUUGUUCUUAUGUUUCAAGGAGAUCAACACAAUAGCUGUGCCUCCCAUCAUGGCUUCUUGAAAGCCUGUGGGGAUUGGAUUGGCUGUGGGACACCCCCCCCCCCCGCCCCACCGCCUACUCAGUUAAGAAGGGUUGUUCCAGAAUCACAGAUGUCCGUCUUCAGGAGUCACCUUUGGAAUGUGAUUUACCGGAUGACCUCAGCUCUGGAGCACCUACCCUCAUGCCUCCUCUAGCAGUACCAACCCUCUUAGGAAGGAGAGCUGAGGAGCUUGUGAGAUCUCAGACGCUUCCCCACAGGAAGCAUCAGAUGUUAGCCCACGGGAGGAGGCAUCUCAGCAUAGCUGCACCGCUUCCUCACCACCUUCCCCUGCCCACGGACAGAUGUUUAGUGGUGAGAGAGGAGGGUGCUUUCUCUGUAGCCCUGCCCCGCUUUCCUGCUUUACGGAGCUCUCUGACAAAGUUGAAAGACACACUGUGCUCCAGCCCAGCUUCUGGCACCAAGGUGAUCCCAGCUGAGGGGCUAGGAGUCAGCUACCAUCCACCCUUAGGGAAAAGGUGGUCUAGAUUAGUGUGCUUUCUGCUUAACCGUUUAAAAUGGCCAAUUUGAAGGUACUUGAAGACAAUGGUGGGCUUUGUGAGGUUGAGAGUGUCAAAUCUCCCACUGAUAGGCUUCUGUGGCAGGAACCAGUCGGCUUUCCUACCUUUCCUACCUAUCCCUGGAGAUACCCCCAAACUAUCCAAUUCAGGGGAGAAUGGAAACCCUUCCCCCUCUAAGCUUAAGAGCCCCAAUCCUCAGAAAGAUUCAGACAGUUUCCAGUUCUCUUCUCUCUUAUGCCCCCCCACCCUAUCCUACCGUGUGUGUGUGUGUGUGUGUGUGUGUAUGAGAGAGAGAGAGAGAGAGAGAGAGAGAGAGAGAGAGAGAGAGAGAGAGACUUUCAAUAAAAUCUGCCACAGGCACUGAGACCCUUCUUUUUCUGCCUCCUCUUAAAUCAGUGGGGAUAAUCUUACUGUGAGUACAUCACAGCCUCACUGGUCAUAGCCAAAGAGACAGCAUGUUCCAUCCAGAAUCUUCUCCAGGUACCUACUCAAGUUUGCAGUGCUCUUCUUAUCUUCCUGUUUCAACAUGGGACAGAUCACCAUGGCCAAACAACUGGCUAGACAAACCCUUCAGCUACCCUUGGACAUGAUCUGCUUUGGUUUUGUUUGUUUUUGUUUUUUUGGUUUUUUUUUUUUUUUUCAAACUCUUCUGGAAAAAUUCAGUAAUCCUUUUUUCCUGAGCCAACUUUCAGACAACCCUCAUGAGAAAUGAGAAGCCUAACCAAAUUGUCCUGGUUCUUCUUCGGGCCAUAGAGAACCACAGCGAAAUUGGGACCCAACCUGGAGCUCUGCCCGUGUUGAUCAAAAAAUCCUCUUUCCUUUG